AUUAAAUUUAACUUAAUCGUGAAAGUUAAAAUAUUGCAAUAUGUUUUUUUAUCCAAAAAAAUAAUGCAUAAAAUUAGGUGUUAAAGAUUUCUCAUUUCUGAUUUCAUUCUCAUGGAUAAUGUUUAAAUAUGAUGACAUAACACACCAUAUAACUGAGAUUCAUGAUUGAUUUCUUAACAUGCAUCACCAACUGAGGCUUUUUUUUAUUUCGUUUAAUAUUGUUAACUUUAAAAAUGUCAAUAGAUAACUCUUAUUUUUUUGUUUACAGACCUGAAAAUUUGACCUGGUCCGAUUGGGUUUCAACAAAUUUUAAUUAGGUUCGCGGGCGGUUACAGCGAACCUCAGGUUCGCACCAGUUGUCAAAAAGUGAGAAGAUCGAUUCAGGAUCAAUUUAAAAUGUGAUUUAUUAAUUAAAAAAAUUGUUAAGAACAUUGUGUUUUAUUACAAAAAGUUUAUGAUCCUUUUAGUUGUGUCGUGAUCAGAAUACGGACAUUAAGUUAAGCCGUUCUGGAGAUAUCUCCUAACAAACAUACAUCCAAACAUUCGCAUUUAUAAUAUUAGUAAGAUUUAUGGAAUGGUGGGAAAUGGGAGCAAUAGAUUAAUACAAAAUAUAUUUUGGGACCAAUUUAUUAACAUUUCAAAGUAACAUUAUCACGACUUGUCUUUUUAUAACACAGCGGUCAGAUCUAAACUCUAAAAAAAUAUACACAUCGUGAAAAAUAUGUCUCAAUAAAAUCGGUCCAUCUCGUAACUGUUUAUAAAUUCUAUAACAAAAUGGACAUCCCAUUGUACUGUUUGUUUUAAGUACGCCAACUUAAGUAGUAAUACGAUUUGUGAUUUCUUUUUCUAGACCAAAAAUGAGGCUACAGGCUGUAAGACAUUGUUUUACUCAAUUCUUGCA